CCCUGGUAGUCCCCGCCCUAAACGAUGUCGAUUAGCUGUUGGGCAGCAUGACUGCUUAGUAGCGAAGCUAACGCGUGAAAUCGACCGCCUGGGGAGUACGGUCGCAAGAUUAAAACUCAAAGGAAUUGACGGGGACCCGCACAAGCGGUGGAUGAUGUGGAUUAAUUCGAUGCAACGCGAAGAACCUUACCUGGUCUUGACAUGUACGGAACCCUCCAGAGACGGAGGAGUGCCUUCGGGAGCCGUAACACAGGUGCUGCAUGGCUGUCGUCAGCUCGUGUCGUGAGAUGUUGGGUUAAGUCCCGCAACGAGCGCAACCCUUGUCAUUAGUUGCCAUCAUUAAGUUGGGCACUCUAAUGAGACUGCCGGUGACAAGCCGGAGGAAGGUGGGGAUGACGUCAAGUCCUCAUGGCCCUUAUGACCAGGGCUUCACACGUCAUACAAUGGUCGGUACAGAGGGUAGCCAAGCCGCGAGGUGGAGCCAAUCUCACAAAACCGAUCGUAGUCCGGAUUGCACUCUGCAACUCGAGUGCAUGAAGUCGGAAUCGCUAGUAAUCGCAGGUCAGCAUACUGC
rnacentral:rRNA from 1 species